rnacentral:rRNA from 1 species
AUGGCGGAGGUGGGGAGCAUACCAGACAUCGAGUCAGUCCGCAACACCAGUCUGGAGUGGCUCCUGGACCUUAUUGCAGAAUGUAAUGAAGGGAACCGGCUGCGCCUGAAUAUGAUGUUAUGGAUGUAUUGGCAUGUGCGUAAUGAGACCACUCAUGACAAGCCAGCGCCGCCCAUGGAGGGAGAUUGGGACAAAGAGAAGAUGGCCAUCCAUCAAGAAGGUGUAGAACAUCCUAUAUCGCAUGUGAGAGUUGUGCCACGAACAGCCCGCAAACGGAAUCCCCCUCCCGCCAAGUGGACGAAGCUGAAUGUCGACGGUUCCUUUUCGCAUGAUGACGGGAGGGCUGGGGCAGGAAUGCUGGCUGGGUACAUGGAGGGCAUAGCAUUGGCCCUCCAGUGGACGGAGUUGCGGUUCAUCGUCGAGAGCGAUAGUCUGCAGGCGGUGCAGCUAAUCAAUGCCUCAGGCCAAGACCGCUCACAGUACACCAUGGUGGUUUCAGAGGUGAAGCGUAUUAUGAGUGAAAGAGAGUGUCGUGUUGUUCAUAUUUCUCGAGGGCAGAAUAAUGUAAGCCAUAUGUUGGCCAACUUUGGGAGAACGGAAUACCGUACUGUGGUCUGGCUCCGCUCCGGCCCGGACAAUAUCCCUAGCUUGUGUAGAGAGGACCUUCUUGGCAUUUGA